GAUGAACGCUGGCGGCGUGCCUAAUACAUGCAAGUCGAGCGAACGGACGUGAAGCUUGCUUCUCUGAUGUUAGCGGCGGACGGGUGAGUAACACGUGGAUAACCUACCUAUAAGACUGGGAUAACUUCGGGAAACCGGAGCUAAUACCGGAUAAUAUUUUGAACCGCAUGGUUCAAAAGUGAAAGACGGUCUUGCCGUCACUUAUAGAUGGAUCCGCGCUGCAUUAGCUAGUUGGUAAGGUAACGGCUUACCAAGGCAACGAUGCAUAGCCGACCUGAGAGGGUGAUCGGCCACACUGGAACUGAGACACGGUCCAGACUCCUACGGGAGGCAGCAGUAGGGAAUCUUCCGCAAUGGGCGAAAGCCUGACGGAGCAACGCCGCGUGAGUGAUGAAGGUCUUCGGAUCGUAAAACUCUGUUAUUAGGGAAGAACAUAUGUGUAAGUAACUGUGCACAUCUUGACGGUACCUAAUCAGAAAGCCACGGCUAACUACGUG
rnacentral:rRNA from 1 species